AAGUCAGAUUUAGAGUCCGAACUAUGUUUUCAGGCUUGUUUGUUCAACCCUUGUGUGGAUUGAGAAAGCAGUUUCUACAAACAUUUGAGGGAUAACAGGACUCGAAGAGGAUAAUGUAGUCAUAACACUUGGCUUUUCACCAAAGAAAUGAUUACGUAGACAUAAAAUAUUGAUUUGAGUUUAAACCGUUUUAACAUCUUACCUGUAAUGGAUAAUUUUAUUUAUAUUCAUAAUCUAAAAAUUAAAUAAUUACUAUAGAUACAAAAGUCCUUUUGAUUUUUGAUUUGAAAAAUUGAGCUUAAAGAUACCUGUACACUGGUUAGAAUGAGUCACAUGCAUUGGUCAUACUGAGAUAAAAGAUGUAGGAAAAUAACACAGUUUCUACUGUAACUACUGUCAGAUUGAUUACACACAGUGGGGUCAAAUCUAAAUUGUAGUAAAACCGUGUGAACUCCUUUGUGCAGACAAGGCCUCUUGAUGAUGCUUUCUGCUCAUCUCAAAUCAUACUGGAGAACAAGAUCAAAAGGUUUUGUCAUCAAAGUUACAGGGGGGAAGGACAAAUUUUAAACCUCAUUUUUAAACCUUUUUUUUCUUAAUGUACAAUUUACAUAUCACAAUUUUUUUCCCUCAAAAUGUGCAGAUAAUAUCAUUUGUAAUAAAAUGUUUGCAUUAAAAGAAAAAAGGGAAGCAUUUUGACUAAUGCCCUUUCUGACCCCGUUUUUUACAGUCUGUCUUGCCUUUUUGCGGUUUAUUGAUGACAUGAAACUCACAGUCUGUAUUUAUUGAUACAGAGGACUGUGAACUUUAAGCAAAUGGAAAUUGAAAGCAAUAUAGAGUUCUUAAAAAUCAUGUGAGUGUUUGCAUGUUAUGCAGUAAUUGGUUAAUUCUCUUUCCUCUUUGCAGGCAUCAUCUCAGAAUGAAGUGUCCUAAAUGCAAGUAUGUGUCUUCAGUAAAAGCACCAAAAUUCUGCUGUGAGUGUGGCUACAAGCUGUCAUCUCCGUCAAAUCAGACAGCACCAGACGAUUCACAAGAUGAGUUUCAAUCACUCUUAAACAUUCCACAUGGCAGUGAUAAAGAAAAGACUUCAGGCCUCAAAAGAGAUUUCAGGCCUGAAUCAGAAGUGCUGGAUUACCAGAAUGCCAGAAUAUCUCCAACACGACCAAAUGAAGAUAUCAUCCACUCUAACUCAAAGAAAAAGGUGCUGGACAUGGAUAUCAAUUUUAACAAUGAAAUGGCUCUGGAUUAUGAUUUUAAAAUGUUUCUGAUUCUGUUAUUGGUGAUUUAUGAUGCACAUUUAUAUUCAUUCAGUGUGCAUGCAAUUGUAGAAAUUAAACACUUAUAUUACACAAUGUUAUAAAUUAGCUUAACAAUAAUUCCAAAUAGAAAAUGUGCUCUGUGCUUUCAUGAGCGUCUCCGUUAAUUUGAGAGGGAGCUAAAGCUUUGGCCGGUGGCUGCUGGCGAAAGUUGAUAAUCACAGAAAGCAUUGUAUACAUGGAGUUAUAUGAUGACUAG
rnacentral:lncRNA from 12 species